CCUACGGGAGGCAGCAGUGAGGAAUAUUGGUCAAUGGGCGCGAGCCUGAACCAGCCAAGUAGCGUGAAGGAUGACUGCUCUACGGGUUGUAAACUUCUUUUAUAAAGGAAUAAAGUGAGGCACGUGUGCCUUUUUGUAUGUACUUUAUGAAUAAGGAUCGGCUAACUCCGUGCCAGCAGCCGCGGUAAUACGGAGGAUCCGAGGGUUAUCCGGAUUUUUUGGGUUUAAAGGGUGCGUAGGCGGAUCGUAAAGUUCGUGGGAAAAUUGAGGGGCUAAACCCCUGCCCGCCAUUGAAACUGGCGCUCUUGAGUGGAAGAGAAGUAGGCGGAAUGCGUGGUGUAGCGGUGAAAUGCAUAGAUAUCACGCAGAACCCCGAUUGCGAAGGCAGCAUGCCGGCUUCCGACUGACGCUGAAGCACGAAAGCGUGGGGAUCGAACAGGAUUAGAUACCCUAGUAGUC
rnacentral:rRNA from 1 species